CGCAAGCGUUGUCCGGAAUUAUUGGGCGUAAAGAGCGUGUAGGCGGCCUGACAGGUCUGCUGUGAAAACUCGAGGCUCAACCUCGAGAUGUCGGCGGAAACCAUUUGGCUAGAGUCCGGAAGAGGAGAGUGGAAUUCCUGGUGUAGCGGUGAAAUGCGCAGAUAUCAGGAAAAACACCAAUGGCGAAAGCAGCUCUCUGGGACGGUACUGACGCUGAGACGCGAAAGCGUGGGGAGCGAACAGG
rnacentral:rRNA from 1 species